GAUGAACGCUGGCGGCGUGCUUAACACAUGCAAGUCGAACGGAAAGGCCACAGCUUGCUGUGGUGCUCGAGUGGCGAACGGGUGAGUAACACGUGGGUGAUCUGCCCUGUACUUCGGGAUAAGUUCAGGAAACUGGGUCUAAUACCGGAUAGGAGUUCCAGCUGGGUGGGGGGGUGGGGAGCUUUUGCGGUGUGGGAUGAGCUCGCGGCCUAUCAGCUUGUUGGUGGGGUAUUGGCCUACCAAGGCGUCGACGGGUAGCCGGCCUGAGAGGGUGUACGGCCACAUUGGGACUGAGAUACGGCCCAGACUCCUACGGGAGGCAGCAGUGGGGAAUAUUGCACAAUGGGCGGAAGCCUGAUGCAGCGACGCCGCGUGGGGGAUGACGGCCUUCGGGUUGUAAACUCCUUUCGUCUGGGACGAAGCGAAAGUGACGGUACCUGGAUAAGAAGCACCGGCUAACUACGUG
rnacentral:rRNA from 1 species